GACGAACGCUGGCGGCGUGCUUAACACAUGCAAGUCGAACGGAAAGGCCCUGCUUUUGUGGGGUGCUCGAGUGGCGAACGGGUGAGUAACACGUGAGUAACCUGCCCUUGACUUUGGGAUAACUUCAGGAAACUGGGGCUAAUACCGGAUAGGAGCUCCUGCUGCAUGGUGGGGGUUGGAAAGUUUCGGCGGUUGGGGAUGGACUCGCGGCUUAUCAGCUUGUUGGUGGGGUAGUGGCUUACCAAGGCGUUGCCGGGUAGCGGGCCUGAGAGGGUGACCGGCCACAUUGGGACUGAGAUACGGCCCCGCCUCCUACGGGAGGCCGCAGUGGGGAAUAUUGCACUCUGCGCGGCAGCCUGAUGCAGCCCCGCCGCGUGCGGGAUGACGGCCUUCGCGUUGUAGACCGCUUUCGCCUGUGCCGAAGCCUGAGUGACGGUAAUGGGUAAAGAAGCACCGGCUAACUACGUG
rnacentral:rRNA from 1 species